AUUUGUCAGAAGAUAUCAGAGCACAGAAGUGACUCCAAUCCUCGAAGUCCACUUCCAAGGACUGAGAAAUCUUGAGAACCUUGGAAAAGUGUAAGCCAGUACUGACAAUUAGAAGGAUUGGAUUCGUGCAAUGGCAAAAUUGCUGCCUUCACAUGAUAUCCUGGAUUGCAGCGAAUGGAGAUGGUCACAAGGCUCUGUGGAUUUGGUGUUGGAUGUGGGACUGGAAAAGAAGACAGGAGAGCGAGCGGUGGUGAGCUUCUUGCAGCUGCUUCCAGAUCGUCCGGGUUCCUAAAAUGCUGCUCCCUUUCUGAUGACAGGUGGAGUGAAGCAGCCAUCUUAUUGCCAUCCUCACUGUGUUCACCUUAGAGCAUGAUCUAUGUGAC
rnacentral:lncRNA from 1 species